rnacentral:rRNA from 1 species
AUGAACGUUGGCGGCGUGGAUUAGGCAUGCAAGUCGAGCGUGAUAGAUCUGGUGGUAACAUUGGAUCUUGAAAGCGGCGAAAGGGAGAGUAACGCGUAGGGUAUCUGCCUCCAGGCCUGGGAUAGCGGCGGGAAACUGCCGGUAAUACCAGAUAAUGUCUCCGGACCAAAGGUGUGAUUCCGCCUGGAGAUGAUCCUGCGUCCUAUUAGCUAGUUGGCGGGGUAAUGGCCCACCAAGGCAAAGAUGGGUAGCGGGCGUGAGAGCGUGGCCCGUCUCACUGGGACUGAGACACUGCCCAGACACCUACGGGUGGCUGCAGUCGAGAAUCUUCCGCAAUGGGCGCAAGCCUGACGGAGCGACGCCGCGUGCGGGAUGAAGGCCUUCGGGUUGUAAACCGCUGUCAGUGGGGUGGAAAUCGGUAGGGGUUCUCCCCUAUUGUUGACCUAACCGCAGAGGAAGUCCGGGCUAAGUACGU